UAGGAACCUUCCCUAUGGUUCGGAAUAGCUCAGGGAAACUUGGGGUAAUACCGAAUAAGCCCUUCGGGAAAAGAUUUAUCGCCAUUGGAUGGGCCCGCGUCGGAUUAGCUAGUUGGUGGGUAACGGCUACCAAGGCGACGAUCCGUAGCUGGUCUGAGAGGAUGAUCAGCCACACUGGGACUGAGACACGGCCCAGACUCCUACGGGAGGCAG
rnacentral:rRNA from 1 species